CGGCAGUCGGUCCGCUCCUCGCGGAGUGUGCACCUGGCUUCUGCAGCCAUCCUCGCGGAGAGCACGUCUGUCAUUAAGUUGUCGGGCGUGGGAUCCGCGUCAUUUACUGUGAGCAAAAUAGAGUGUUCAAAGCAGGCUUAGGCCGUUGAAUACAUUAGCAUGGAAUAAUAAGAUAGGACCUUGGUCUAUUUUGUUGGUUUGUACUCCAAGGUAAUGAUUAAUAGGGAUAGUUGGGGGUAUUCGUAUUCAAUUGUCAGAGGUGAAAUUCUUGGAUUUAUGGAAGACGAACUACUGCGAAAGCAUUUACCAAGGAUGUUUUCAUUAAUCAAGAACGAAAGUUAGGGGAUCGAAGAUGAUUAGAUACCAUCGUAGUCUUAACCAUAAACUAUGCCGACUAGGGAUUGGUUGAUGUUUUUUUACGACUCAAUCAGCACCUUAUGAGAAAUCAAAGUCUUUGGGUUCCGGGGG
rnacentral:rRNA from 1 species